GCUUCCUUAAGUACUGCAGUGCCUUGAAUUGUUUAGGAAAUGGAAGUUCAAGGAAAUAGUAAUAAUGUAGUUACAGAAAAAUGAUGAACAAAACUGAUUAUAAAAUAUAGGGGCCACUCAGCUACAUUCCACAAUUUGGACUUCAGGAUAUAUUUUCAUUACAGUAACAUUACACAUUUAUGUAAACUAGACCAGUAUUUCGAACUGUAUCAAAUAACUAUUAAGUGUGUAACGAUCUUGGUUCCUGUUGCAGGAAAAGUAUGCAUACUACCAUUUCCCACACCUUCAUGUUGAGUGUGGGAUACAGUAGCUGGGUUUGGGAGCUGUGCAGAGGCUUUGAGAAUGAUUGUUUCCAAGUAGCCAAGACUUAACCUGCAAUUCUGUCAGAUCAUGAACCUUCAUAAAUUCAGAUCUAACUUUAAGUUAACUUAUUUUGUUCAUGGUUUAGUAUCUUAAUUUUGUACUGUAACAACUAGUAAAACCAAAAUUAGUUCUCUCUCUUUGAGGUUUUGCAUUUCUGGUAAUCAGUUAUUAAUCAAAAGUAGUAUCCAAGAUCCAUAAACAGCUGAACACUAGUUAAAACACAACAUAUUAAGAACUUGGAAAGAUAUUAUUAUAGAACAAUGCCAGAAAUUAAGCUAAAGAAAUCCUCUAUUGUAACUGGACUGAUACUAGUUUUAACACACAUACUACAAAAAAACCUUUUAGUCCCAUGGUCCCAAAGAAUGUCAGAGGUGACAUGAGACUGACCCAGGAAUACAGAAGUGGUUUCUUUGUGGUCUUUACUGUGCUGAAAACACUAAGCUUCCAGAAACUUUUUAAGCAUACCUGCAGAGGACUGAGAAUACAGUAAUAAUCUUGAAUAAUUUUGGGUGGAAGAUCCUGCAGUACAUCCUCCUUCAUCCUCCUUAGGAGGAAUGGCAGAACCUGGCGGUGCAGUGCUUCCAUUGCAAGAACCCCUGGAGGAGACAACGGGAGCCACAUUUUAGGGAAAAAAAAAUUGAAAUGUCCGCCUCUCACCUCCUGUUCUUACACUGGAACUGAUCACACUUUCUCUUUUCAUGUGAAACUCUCAUUUAAAGGAAGAAAACAAGAAAACAAAAAUUUAACAUUUGAUCCUUACCAGCCUCUUGUUCUCGACUGGAGCUUCGGGCAUCUCUACUUGCCAGUAUUGGUUUGCCAUAACGAGCUGCAAAUUGGCGUUCAGUACCCAAAAAUCCCGGCAUGAGGAAGUCAAACAAUGACCACAACUCUAAGACGUUGUUCUGGCAUAGGCAAAACAUUUU